rnacentral:pre_miRNA from 1 species
AUUCCACUCCCUCCGUUACGCAAUACAUGCCUUCUAUUUGUCAAAAUAUAUAUGUAUCUACACAUGUUUUAGUAUAUAGGUACAUCCAUUUUUGGAAAAAUGGAAGUGAAGUAUUUUGGAACGGAGGGAGUACAUA